rnacentral:tRNA from 1 species
GGGCAUAUAGCUCAGUGGUAGAGUGUGUGCUUAGCAUGAACAAGGUCCUGGGUUCAAUCCCCGGUACCCCCA